UGACCUUGUCGAAGAGGUUAUUGAGGGGGUAAUCUCUCGACUCUAACUCUUGGUUAGGUGUUGUCGUUUGAUUCGCCUCCACUUGAUCAUUCUCUCUGCUCUUUUCUCCCAUACACAUUUCUCUGCUUGAGAUGGUUAUCUUCCUACUCCAAGGAAAGGUUCCUCCUUUAUGGAUUCUUUAUCAUUUCCUCUUGUCUCAUUCAAUUGUCUAGUAUCAUGACAAGAGUUGCAUCGGUACUUUCGUUACUUGACGUAUUGUUGGUAUGGACGUUUCGUACAACUUGAUAUAUUCUCCUGAGUCGAAUCUGGUGUUGCAUUUCUGCCUCUCGUUCCAUUACUUCCUGAGCUUAUCGUUCAGCUUCGGCAAUCUCCUGAUGCUUGUUUUCCCGCGCAACUUGUCGCGUGUAUUCUUCUUCUUCGCUCUCAGAGGCGGCCAGUCCAUCUUCGGGAUAUAUUCUUCUUUCGCGGUCGUAGUUGUAAGAAGUUAUACAUCUAACAUUCAAGAUGAAAAGAUGGCAAGAUAAGCAAGUAAAAAGACACAUAAGAACACAAGAUAUACGUGGUUCGGCAUGAUUAUCUACGUCCACGGGGUGAAGAGAUGAUCUUAUUACUUCUUUCAAGUUACAAUGGUGAUAUCUCUCAACACUACUUAGUCUCUCUCUUCAUUCACUUACCAAUCACUUGCCUUUUUAUCAACACAAGGGUCUAUAUUUAUAGGCUAAGAUGCUCAUACAACGAGAUUACAGUGUAGUCACAUUCUAUCUAUCUUGAUGGUCCUGUCGGGUGAUCACUAAUAUCUCCUUCCAAUACUCAAUUCCCGACUUUGUGCUCCUCUGAAGAAUAGGUCUCCUGAUUUAUCUCUUCUCGGCUCAAGUUUGCUUUCGCCUAAUGGUAAUGGUCCCGAUAUCCAUUAAUCCGAUAUUGCUACUCUGCCCGAUCCGAGUCUGCCAUCCUAUGCAUCCGAGCCUGUCAUGACGUGACUCUUUUGCUCCUACACGUGCUCUGUCAGUAUAUUUAAUGCCUUGUACCUCGAUUCAAACCUGAUCGUUGAAUAUGGCCUUCACUUUACACGUGUUUACUUCUCUUCCACAUGCAGUAGAUAUUUUUUUUCCUGUAUCUGAUAGGGUGAUUCCGUGCUUCGCCUUGCUCUCUUCUUUGAUGUAUCACAGCUCAGGAUUGUGCCACCUUUACUUGCCAACUAAUUGCUACUACAUUUAUGCCCCUUAUUUCCACUCGUGUGCUCGACAAAAUGGGAAGAAAACUACUUCGCCUUCCCCAACCGUUAUCAUGCCGUAUUUUUCGCUGCCACGUCCCCCACGAUCUCGCCUUUAUUACCCUCUACCUCCUCAGCCCGUUGUAACUGCCUUGGUUAUAAAAGAAAACUCAUAAACCCUUAGAUUUUUUGCUUCACUGUUUAUUUCUCUUUCUCCGUUCAAAACCCAACAUUCUCUACUACUCCAUCUCUGUAACUCCAUUUCUUCCUUAAUCAUUCUCUCAACGUUCUAGUUCUUCGUUGUUACCUUUGUUUCUUUGCUGUCUUUAUUUCGCUGUCGUCACCAUCUCUGUUUCUCGCUGCCUUUAUCAUCAACGUUAUCAUCGUUCAAGUCCUGUUCUGUAACUGUCUUUAAUGGCUUCCCCAUCUCCAUCCAUGAUAGAUAAAAGGUGUUAAGUUACACAUUUUUUAGUGAAGAUAGUAUUCCCGGUUAAGAAGAAAUCCAGCAAGUACCAGAACCUUAUUGAUGCGCAAUUCAUCGAUCAAUUGAAGGAUAACUAUAAUCUCCAUGACUAUGUCCUUCAGCUUCUAUCGGGUCAGAAAGGUCUUCUAAAGAAUGAGAAGUUUGAAGAGUACGACCAUUCUUCCGAUGCGAAUAUCAUUACCAAGGGUCAACUCGAACUCGGGCUGCGUCUUCCUCUCUAUGACCCAAGCCGACCGUUCAUCUAUGAAGUUCUAACUCAGAUCCAACCUCCUCGGGUCUUGGGCCAAUGGAAUGGUAACACAUUUCUCCUUAUGGAUGAGUGGGAGAAACGAGAGAUGAGUGAAUGCUCCAACACCCCCUGGUCUACAUACGAUCCUUCUCAUGCGAGAAAGUAUACCUCUGUCAGUUUUGUGGGUAAUUAUCGAAGCGAUACUGCCUCUCUUGGUGAUCUUGUCGGUUUCGCUGCAGUCCUCAUCGCCUCAAGACUCCAGCCGUUGGGUUUGAAAAGUUGAUGUUAGAUGAAGAUCCCAAAGGUGGUAGUAAUACCAACAAACACGCUCGCCACACUAGCGACUCUGCUUGGGACCAAGUCCCCUUGGCUAUCCGAGGUCCCAUUUUGAGUGGCAAGCUCCCUCCUCCUUCCUUUCCUGUCGAUCCUUAUCAGUUCUGGCCCGAGGCUCAGGGUACUCCCAAAUCUCAAGGUACUCGGAAUAGGGGUUCUAGCAACAUACAUGAGGAAGAGCCAGUGAAGAAAUCAAAGACUGGUGAGGAUGUUGCGUAAGGCUCUUUCGGGAAAGAUGCUGAGGAUUCUGACGAUCGGCUUCCACUAUCUCAAUUUGUGCCAAAAAAAGGUAGUCAAGAAGAAGAAUUCUGACGUCUCAUUUGUCGUUGUAGGUGAUCAAGCUGAGAAAGGUGGCAAAUGAGCUAAAGGUGGUAAGGGUACCCCUGAGAAGAAUGUGUCUCUGCCCCAAGUGCCUAAAGUAUCUUCUUCGGGUAAGGAGACAACUCUUCAAUAUACCAAAUUGACCGUGGUAAUACCGAAUGAUGAUAGCGAGAAUGAUGAGCUCUUCGGCUCGGAUACUGAGAUUGAGGGAUCGGGUGGGGGAGAAGAAGAGCAGAAGGAGCCCGACAUUCCUUCAAACGAUGGGAAUGGUCAAUCCUCUCGGGGAGAUGAGCUGAUGGAGAAUAUCGAGAGGGAUACUCCGAACAAGAUUGUAGUCGGGGAUCCAUUUUCACAUUUUCUGGCGUUGCUUGCGAUUCACUUAGUGCUCUCGCCUCUUCUAGCUUCAGUUCUCUUUCCGGUGCUGAGAUGUUGAAGGUCUUGCCCCUAUAUGGUCCUGUUAUGAGGGAGUCCAUCAAUCUUUUUGCCGAGAACCAGGGACUUCUUGAGGCUGUUAUUCGUCAAAAGGAGCUGGAGGAAAUGGCCCGUCCUCGGACCCAGCUACAAGGAGAGUAAGAGCGAUCUCAGGAACUCGAGAGGCAGCUAAAUGGUGUUAAAGAACAAGGAAAAUUCCAAGCUUUGGAGGACAGGUCAUUCAGCUGAAGAAGAGUGAAGUUCUUUUGAACACCAAGCUUACUGAUACUGCUACUGAGUUGACUCGCCAAUUGGAUGAGGAGGAGAAAAAGCAUGAGAAGAAGCUCACUGAGAAGGUCAAGGAAGGCGUAAAGGAGUUCAUAAACAUGAGGAAAGAGAAGCUCGCUGCGAAGAGUGAUGGCUCAGGUUCGGUUAAUCCUGAAGAAUAGUUUCUGCCUUUUGUAGUGUUGUGCUACUAUUUUCCCCUUCUCUCGGGCUGUAAUUUUCAUUUCACUUGAACACCUUUAAGUUUUCGGGUUAUAUGUUUCUUGCAGUGUUGCGUCACCGAUCAUUCCCUCCUCCUUAGGACUUGUAGUUUUCGACAAUGUUUCACAUUUAUUUUUUAUGCA